rnacentral:lncRNA from 1 species
AUCUAUAUGUUUCUAGGUCUACAUAAAUUCGAAUUAUAAUAUUAAUCAUGACAUGUCAACACGAACUGUCACCCCUAAUACCAAGAGUAACUAACUUGCACGUCAUCCAUACAUCUCUCGGUACACAAGAAGAGCUGAACCCAACAACAGCAGUGCCACGGAAAGUAGAGCCGACUGUACAGCGGCUGACAAUGGAAUGCGUCCUUUAUCCGACCUUACCAUCCCUUCAAUCACAGGGUAGCUCAUCACCAGGAUGAAGAACGACAGAGCAAUCUGCGCAAGCAACUUGUCCCAACCUCCCAAGACGAGCACCCGAGCGAUUCCUCCGACAAAGGAAGCCAUGCUCAACAUCACUAGAGCCACUAUCGGGGCCAAGAACACGAUCGAUGUUCGGAAAUCAAAUACGCCCUUUUCGUACAUCUCCAUUUGCUCGUCAUCGGCGACUUUGCUAGUAGGCAAGAAGCUCUAUCUCCUCACCCCGGUUUUCGUCAGAACGGCAUUUAUGCUCCCGUAUAGAUAAGUGGUCACCGAGUGGAUCAUCCAUAUCCGUUGCUCGUUUAUAAACGUCCGGACCGAGUGACCACUCACGACGACCUCGUAGAGAUGCUUGGAAAGUGAAGAUAGGAAAACGAAGCAAUACACGAGGAACAAUGAGCUCGAAACCUGGCGUGCCAAAAGAAUCGAUGUUCAUGAGUCAUGAUUAUAUGUUACUCGCGUUCAAUAGCAUCAAAGACUUGAUUGGUUCACGGGAAUGAAAAGCCUACAUAUGAGAAUAGCUUACCUCCGGAUAAAUGGGGACGCCAUUGAAUAGACAUAUCUGGGGAAUGGUGGCUAAGCAGCAGAGAGGCAAGCAGUAGAGGGGGAAGAACGCAAGCUCGGUAUAACACAUGCUCUGAAGAAUGCUCAUUCUCCAUGGUCCAUAAAUCGGAGGAGAGAAUCUGGAGAACCCGACCUGAGCCCACCCGGAACUCCAUCUUGUGAUUUGAACCAGUAGGUCAUUCAAAUUUGUCGUGGAAGCCCCCAAAAAUUGAGGCCGCGAAGGGCAACAGUACACUGAUUUCCAUCCUUUGCAGUGCAAGGCGAAGCUGGUGAAGAAGUCUUCGGUCACAGAUCCAUACUUGAAACCGACCUGGAGCAAGAGCGACCACGAGCUAAAUAAAGAGGAAAUGGAGUCACUAAUAGCAGCAAAUUACAAGGGUUUUGGUUAUUUUGUUCUUUUGAUUGUACUUGCCUCUUGACCCCAUUUUGUUCCGUUUUCAUAGUGACAAGAAGCUAAAUGUUCGGUGUCUCUGCAGACUGCUCCCAGUUCGCUGAGAAUGUUCUUAUUAAGCUUGUCGCUCCAGUGAAGAUGUUUAAUAAACUCAUUGGAAUGGCCAAAGAUUGCUUUCAAAUCCAUGAGAUUAGCUGUAGUACCUUUCCAAUCAGCAAGAGAAGUAGUUGAUUACAUUGCAUGGAUUUGCUAUCCAAGAUCCUACCUUAACAUAUGGCUAUUUUGACUUACCUUCUUGCAUGGGUUUGCUGUACAAGGACUCUCUCUUAACAUAAAAGCCAGUACCAGAUAUUAAAGGUCCUUGCAACCCGUCCAUUCCACACCAUAAUAUCUGAAAGAAAGCCAAAGUUAUCGGUUAAAAAUGGAUUCAUCAAAAUAAUUUCACAUGUACGAUUUGCUCAAUAAGGCUGAGGAACUAGUAAGUGCAUAAUAAAAAAAUUUGAUUACUAUUAUAGUCUUUUUCUCUCACCCCAAAUGGCGAUCUGUGUUUACUGUCGUAGAUGUCGUUCUUGCUGAUAUUAUGGAACGAUUGAGGGAAUUGAACGAACGAAAGCGAUGGAGACAAUGUCGGGUCCAAGUGGAAGCAGAUUGCCCUCCUCGCCGAGGAUGGGUCGUUGCAGUACAUGUCACAGUCCAGCACUAAUACAUACGGCGAGUUGCUUAUCACCCCCGACACGCGAAGCUGUAAAGGAGGAGCAACAUCAAGUAGUGUGAUCGAUAUUACAAGUACAUAUUAUAUGUAUUUAUGCUGUUCUCUUCCAAGUGAAAAUGCGAAACUUGAGUAGCAUACCAGAACAUUGAGAGCUCCAGCUUUGAAGUUAUGAGGGUAAGAAGGCCUUUUUUCCCUGGAGACGUAAACAAGCAGAGGCAUUUGCUGUUGGUCAGCUUGCACAACUUCGUCUGAGGAAUUUCCAUGGAUCACCUGAAGAAUAAUUUCGAUUUUUUAUGUCUCUUGAUAAAAAGUCUUGACUAGAGCCUUUUCUUUUGCUCAUCAAGUGGAAGGGAAUGGAACCAAAGAACUAAAAUGGGUCAGAAUCCCACGUGUCAAAAUGGGUUCGAAUCGUAAAGCGAAUGUCCAAGAUUAAUGAUCAAAUCUGUAUUUAUGGAAAAGUUAACACUGCAAAAAUUUCAAACUAUAUCCACUAUGAUAUAAAUACUCUGACCUUUUUUUAUGUGUCAUUAAAAAUCUUAAAUUUGUCCAUAAUGACACAAAUACCCUAAACUUUCUUUUUAUGAUAUAAUACCAUGAAUGAAAUUGAAAUAGAUGGUAUAUAUGUCACAUAUCUAUAAGCUUAGGUUUCUUCAUAACACAAAAAAAAUUGGGGAUAUUUGUGUUAUAGUAGUCAAGUUUAGGAUUUUUGAUGAUACAAAAAAAUGAAUAAAUUUGGGUUGUGUGCCACAAGGGGCAUAGUUUGGCACUUUAUUGUGGUAUUUGUCCUUUAUGGAACGAAAAGGAACAAUUGCACAACAUAAGCUUGUACUUUCGAAGUAGUAUAUGUUAAUAUAAACUUAUAUUUUGUUACAACUAUUAAUCAUUUGGUUUUUUAAUUAGCAUGAGUAAUACACAUGGCUUUUGAGGUGUAUUACUCAUGCUAAUUAAAUAUCUCUCUUACCCUUAACAGCCGUGAAACUGACAAAUAUAUAAAAAUGGGUGAAAAUUAAAUUAACUGAAAUACUUAUAUAGAAAAAUAAAUAUUUUUUAAAUUCAAUGAAUGUAGCCAAAUUAUUAGAACUAAAUGAGGUAUUUUAAGAAAAAGAAUAAAAAUUAAAUAAAAGGCAGAUUGUCUUGAUUGGAAAAAGGUCAAAUGACAAAAAUUAUUUACUUAUUAUCUAUAUUUAAGGGUUGAGCUAAUGUAAAAAAUAUCGGCCAACAAAAAACUAUAAAAACAAUCAUAAAUAAUGAUUUCCUCAACUUGACAAAACAUUAGUAAAGUUAUUUUAUGAUGCAUUUGGUAAUUAUACAAGAUUUAUAUACUUGGAACAAGAAAAGAACAUAAAUGCGUUCGGUACAACCCUAAAAAAUUUUAUUACAAUUUUUUCAAUAAUUAUAAAAAUGUCAAUGGAGACUUAAACAAUUCAUGUCUGAAUAAAUUGGAAUUUUGUAAGGAUUUAACUAAUCAAAAUAUUCUAAGAUAGCCUCAGAAAAUCCAAUGUAAUAAUUAGUCAAAGAUAGAUGGUUGAAAAUAGUAGUAGAGAGUCAUACUGGUUUAUAACUCACAAUAUGAACAGAUUGAUAAUAAACCUUUGGGUAUUACAAUAAACAAAUAUAUAGACCUUUUGAACUUUUUUAGCUACAAGAAGAAGAGCAAACAUUGAUUGGAAAAAUGGGCAAGGACGAAACAACUAAGAAUGAAGGCAAUUCUAAAGUUGGUGUGCUUAUUUGCAUAAACUUAUCAAACCUUCAAGCAAAUGACAUUGGAAAUUCAUGGAGCACAAGCUUAUUAGACUACUAUGAAAAAAAGACAAAUGGUGAUGCAAACAAAUUUCUCAGAGCAUCUAAUUUUUAUUAAAACAAAAUUGCAGAUGAUCUUAAAAGAUGUCUAUAAUAGAAUCUUAAAGGAAUGAGAUAUAUUCUUUCAGUGGAGUUGCCAAGCUGUCAUAACCUAGUAUUGUCUUUUGAAGAUAAUGGCAUUAAAAAAAAAAUCCAUAUGGUAAAAUUCUAAGAGCUUAUUCAAUUUUGAAUCCAAUUUUCACCAAAUGAUUUUCACAUUUUUUUGUUAAAUUAAUUCCAAACUAGAAUUAAUACUUAAAUCUAGUAAAACAUUCAAAAUCUAAUUUCUAAAUUUUCUCCUAAAAUUCUGAUUUUUAUUUUUAUUUUUUAAUGGGGACUUGGAUUGGGUCGAGAGACCCGGUCAGGAUGUGAGUCUUACCUAGACCUUAUGUUGAUUGUGUAAAGAGGAGCAUUAGAUUAUGCUGAGGUUGUUCCUCUAAAAUAACCUUAUUACUCCUUUUGUUCUCGAGAAUAAAAAAGUAGAAUUUUUUUUUUACUUCUUGUUUUUAUUGCAAAUCUAUUCCCUAACUAUUUUUAUUUUAUUUUAUUUUGAGGAAUAGAAAAAUUAAUCAACAUACACAAACAAAUUGAUGUUCUUUUUAAAUUAUGGAUAAUAAAAGAACAGAAAAAUAGAUAAAUACAAACAUAACCAAACGCGCUAUAAAUGACUGAUCGAAAUUUAAAGUGACUUAAUAAUUUUAUUGAUCAACCAUAUUUUGCAUAAAUGAACUAUUAAAAAUACAUAAUGAGUAUCCAUUUUUUGUCCAUUUGACUUUUUGGUAUAGGCCUUUUGUCCUGUAAACUUAAUUAUUUUGUUUUUCUUAAAAUAUCCUAAUAGUUUUAUAAAUAUAUCAUCAAUUUAUACCAACUAUUACUUUUAAAUAAAUUUUGGUAAAAUUACUUUCUCUCCACUUUCUUUAUUUUGUCUCUCUUUUUUUUUGUACAAAAAUAAAAGCUAAAAAAAUUCCAUCCAAAAAAAUGAGAUGAAAAUAUGCAUUUGCCCCUUAAUAGUCGCGUGCGCUACACAUGCUAACGAAAAAUAUGGAAGCUUCGUGGGGAUAACGUGUGAUGGUUGAAAGUUAUGGGCAAACAUGUACUCCCCAAAGUUCCGUGGAGUUUUGUGUAAUAUCUCACCAAAAAAAAAAAAAAAAUACCUCAAUGGUAGAUGGAUGAUCCAGCCUCCCAUCCCGUGAUUCACCAUAGUUCCUGUUUCUAUAUCCAUUUAUAUGCGCCUCGAACAAUUCAUACUUCUCCUUUAAAAAAGUAAAUAAUGAAGUUACAUCACUUUAAUCGACAUAUACCCUUUGUCGAUUCCUUUCAAAUCGGAGAUUAUGGCUAAUCGAACUUUGUUGCGAAAGGUUUUCCUGUCCCAGAAUCGUACUUUGAUUUUCUCAACCCAGAAGUCCCGCUUGAACCCAUCUAAACGUAGCUAGAUCAUAAAGAAAAUCUGAAAUUUUCAAAUCAAGGGGCGAGUCUAAGCAACUACUUUAUGGCCUAGUAUCCAACCGAACACGUCCAUUAAUUAAAUCUACUUUGAACCAAGAAAUAUGCGUUAAUGACAACAUUAGGGACAUUCUAGGGGUACCAUAAAUUUAGUAGAUUUCUGUACGGAGUCGUGUGGCAUUAGAUAUGAUAUGUCUUGAUUAAAUACUUAAGUAGUUCGGUCUUAUAGCUUGGCCAGAGACGGUAGGGAGUGUGUAGUCGGAGAGCAUCUUGGACAUGGGGCGUGAAGCGGGAGGGAGGUUGAUUUUUUUCAUUAGUUAUAGAAUACAUCAGCAUAAAGAAAAAAUUUACUGGCUAUUAUAUUCACUGUUGAUACGAGGGGUUGGUGAGAGAAUAGGUUGUUAAAGUCUUCAAAUGGCAGAAGAAUUACAUUGGUCGAGUUAUUUUCAUUUAUGCUUACUCUAAUGGUGAUUUUUUUUUAAUGGAAAUCUCAAAAUUUAGAAAACAUUUUUGGAAAAAUGAUCAUCUAUAUUGCUUAAUAAAUGAAUGCGAAAUAUUUUCAUCUCCUACAAAAAUAAUUAGGCAUGAAUCGUUAUCGAUAUUGAAGACAUUAUUCAUUGACUAAUUUAUCUAAACAAUAUAACUGAUUCUUUUUCGAAAAAAGUUUUUGAAAUAUUGAAUAUUCUGUGAAACAAUCGCAAAGUUCUCUCUCUUUUUUGAUAUUGUGAUUUAGUGGACAGAUGCCCAAUUCUAACAGCCCAACGAACUAGUGGAGGACUUACGAUGAAGCCUAUUUUUUCUUUUUUUUGGCGGGGGGGAGGGGGGGGGGGGGGCGGGCGGCGGUCAAAUGCGAUGAACAAUGCCUCAAUAAUGCCGACUAUGAUAAGAAAAUAUUGAGUGCUGCUAUUACCGCAACAAAAAAGAAGGAGUCUAAAACGAUGACACGUGUCCAAAGUGAGUCCAAACAUCACUCUCCUGCAAGCUCUCUCCUCUCCUCUCUCCUCUCUCUCGUCCAAAUGCUGUAUGCUCUCUCCUCUAUCCUCGCUCUCGCCCAAAUGCCAGACUUCCUUGCACUCUCUCUCCCUCUCUUUGCCGCCUCCUCUUUAUUCCAUUGAGCCCUCCUCCUACCGACGAAUUUCGUGCCAGCGAAGGCAACCUUUCGAGCCACCACGCCCUCAUCCGACCGAAGAACUUCGUGGUGGCAAAGGCAACCUCGAGGUGGAGCCAUGCGAUGGUUUGUCAGACGAGCCACCGUACCCAACUAAUGAACUUCGCGACGGUGGAGGCAGCUUCGAGGUGGAGCUGCACGGUGGUUCAUCGGAUGAGCCACCAUACCCUCGUCUGAUCGACGAGCCACAGUGCCCAUUCGGCGACAGCUCGCUGCCCUCUACUGGUUGUGCUUUUUCUCCCUUUGAGUCAUGACCGAACCCUCGUCCGACGAAACACCACACGGCUCCACCUCUACCUCAAAAGGUUGCCACCGCCGGCACAAAGUUCGUCGGUUGGAGGAGAGCUUGGCGGGAUACAGAGGGGGCGGCGAAGAGAGAGAGAGAGAGAGAGAGAGAGAGCGUGUAAGGGAGAGAAAAGAGAGAGAGGGUGGCAAGGGAGUUUGGCAUUUGGGCGAGAGGGAGGAGAGAGCUUGCAGGCGAGUCUCACGUUUGGCUCAUUUUGGACACGUGUCGCCAUUUCAAGUCCUUUUUAUUGUUGUGCCGGCUAUAGGCACUCAAUAUAUUCUCGAUAAUGUUAAUGAUAGAGAAUAUGCAUUAAUUGGCGAAAAGGAAAAAAUGACAUAAUAAAGUAUACAACGUCAGCACCAAAUAAUAUGACGUCACCGAACAAAAACUAACCUUGACCUCCUCCUUCUCGGAUUCGUACCCCACGCUAGCGCUCACAUCCUCGUUAUCCAUGAAAUAAGCCUUGGGACACCUCGUCUUUAAUCCAUACCUCUUGCAAAACGGCGACCACCGUCUCGCGAAAUCGUACGCCUCCCUCAUCCCGUGCAGCGUGAGCAGCGAGCUGCCGUCGUCCGAGAGGUACACGUGGAGCUUCUCCGGUGGAUAGUCGAGCGCCAUUGCCGAUAUCACCGUGUUCAUCACUGCCACGGUGGGCUCCUUAUCGGGGUCCGCUGUGCACACCAGCACGUCUAUCGACGGGAGCUCCCCAUCGCCGGGCAACCUCUCGGGAAAGGCGGUCCGCGAUACAGGCCGCCAUCGGAAGGCCUGGUAGAGAAGCCACGUGAGGGACAGCGUUAGCUCGCCCAGGAAAAUAAUGAGCCAAGCCAAAGUGGUGGGUUGGCCCGGUGAGCUAGCUUCUUCGGCGAAGAAAAAGGAAGCUCUAUAGUGUAUAAGGAUAAGUAGAGCUGCUCCAUGGAUGAGCAUGUGUGCGCGGUUGACGGCGAUCAAUUUCGGGUCGACAUGGCAAAGGUUUAGGGGGUGCGAACGAUGCUCCAUAGUUCUUUCCUUCUCUGUCCUUGAGGCGACGCCACUAGCCUUUCCGAUCGAUCCUCGUCGACGGUGGUCAAUAGAGGAGGAGGAGGAGGAGGAGGAGGAGAGAGAGAGGAAGAAGAGGCCAGCUUUAUGUGGAGAGAAAGAAGAGCAAGUAGGGAACUAGAUACGAUAAAUGUUUUGUGGUAUGGGAACGUCACGAUCCCUUUCUAACUUGGUCCGGAUUAUAUAGUAUGUACUCCAUAUCAUGCUAUAUCUCCUUAUGUGAAGAUGGGCAUCUCUUAAAUGGACUCGAGAGCCCUAGCUACCGUUCAUCGAUAGGCUAAGCCUCCAUUAUGUCGUCUUCCGUAAUCGAGAGGUUUCGCAGCACUCUUGUUUGGCCGGCGGAUGGGCGAUCGCCCUCAAAGAAAGGUUAGUGCGCUUUCCCUUCUUUCUCAUCGUCCUUUUUUGGCUAGUAGUGGGGCGGUCUUCGAAUCAGUUGUCACUCACCUCGACAUGUCCCCGAUCUCGACAAGGACGGUGGAGGGCUCAAUGAUACAGCCACCGUCUAUCUAUUUAUGAAUGAUAGUCCUUCGUUUAAUUUUUUAAAUAUUUAUUUUGUAAUUUGGUCUUUCCUCUUCCGUUGAUUCGUCACCAAAAUCGUCGAGCAAAUGCCUUAGUUGUGAUGUACUUCUUUUUUUUGGUCAGAUAAUUGUGUCGUCCUUUAAUAGUGAUGGGUUUUUAUGUUUUGAUGGGCUUAUUUAAGCCUGUCUUCCCAUGUUGGGCCAAAACGCGGCCCGUAAGUGAAUGGCCCAUGGAAGAGUGUAGUUACUAUAAAAUAAAAAAUAAAAAGGGAAAAUCUUGGCAGUUAAUACAUCUACUCAGUUGGUUAUCAGAUAAGCAACGUCUUUGAUAAGAGAGAAUACGUUUUCUCAAUUUAAUGCUCUCUUAGUUUUCCCAAGUACAGUAUGCUCAUUUGAAGAACAGUAUCAGAAGUCCUCAUCAAACUACGACAAUGGUGUUUAAUCUGUGGAAGAUAAGGUAUGUUCGACUCUGUAAUGUACCUUAUAUCGGUGUAACAUGUUUUCUGGGCACGCUUUCCACGUUUGUUUUCCGGCAUUCAAUUGAGUAUCAGAUCGUUAUUUUUUGGGAAUCUGUUUCCCUACAUUGGUAUCAGAGUGAUGUUGUUUAUGUUUCCCGAUUACUGUUCAUGUUUUUUUUUUUUAAUGACCCAGGGAAGCCCCGUACAAUGCGGGCGGCUGGAGUAAACUCUGGGGCCCCAUGGGAGGACCCACCACCCCCGUGGAACGGGUAAGACGCCAAGCGUCUCCGUGGCGAGUCAAACCCUCACCCUCCGAGAAGGGGUCAGUGGGCCCCCCAUGAUGAGGAAGACUUGCCAGCGGAGCCACUAUGACCAAUGGUCCGAUUACUGUUCAUGUUUAUAAAUUGUUUUUUGUUGAAAUUUCGUGAAACGCUGCAGUUGGUCGCUCGGGGAUGGAAAACCCGACACCGCGUACUGUUCACCCCCUUUAUGAUUUUCAGUAAAUCGAAUCUCAUUUUUGAUACCGUAAGGUCGUAGCUCUCGUUGAUACGAGAAAAUCGACUGGAGGUUCACUGCUGGGGGCCAUCAGACGCACCGCCACACACUGCUAGAAUGUCCGGCGUCAUCGGUGCGUGCAACACAUGCGCUGAGGCAGUUCCCAAGUGCGUGCAACGCACGCACAAGCGGGCAAACUGCAGGAGCGUGCAAGGCAUGCGUGCGGCAACCGUUGGCGCAUGCGCACAUCGCCAGCUGAUGUCAUCGUGACGUCAGCCAGCAGUUGCUCACGCAUGUGCCGAUGACGUCACGAUGACGUCACCUAGCAAGGUCGGUCGGUUCGACCCGACCCGACCCAACUCGUCUGACUCGACCUAUUUGCGUUGACCCGUUGAUUAUUGACCGUUGACAAAAAAAAAAGGAUGUGUUUAUUUUUUAAUUAAGUUGCUUUGAUUAUGAGUAAUCAUUUUUUGUUUUGCAUUUGUUGUAGCAAGAAUGCCUCCCCUUCAGGUGCGCACACCUGUUCGUGCAAAUACAGCAAGUCAAAAAGAAAGGCUUUCAAGGUUGAUAGCUGAGUUGACUGAUUAUCGAUGGGAGAAUAGCAAUUUAAUUGAACAUGUUCUUAAGGUCAACAAGAAGAUACAAGAAGUCAUUUGGAAGGGUUAUCCCAUGCCAACUUUUGAGAUGGUGUGAUUCUUCAUGAACACUCUUCCACUAUAAUGACAAUGAGUGUUGAAUCGCUUAUGGGAGGUCAACAGAGUUCCUAAGUAUAAGAGGCUUGUAAUAGCUUUUAUAGAUGAAUAUUAUCAAAUUGAAGCCACAGAAACUGCGAUCCAAGGAAUGACUUCAAUCCGGCGGGGGAUGAAUGUGCUAAGGAGAAAUCCUAAGGGAUAUCCGUAUGUUUUUCCAUGGUUGCUGAAUGUGCCUAAAGAUUUUACAGAUGAUAAUUUGGAGAAAUUAAAAGAUUAUUUUCAUGUUCAUAGGUUGACUUGGCGUUAGCUGUUUCUAGUGGUUUCUAUUUAGUAUGUUUUAAUGGAUAUCUUAUGUAAAUACUUUCUACCUAGUUGAUGUCGUUGUAGCAACUAAUGUAUUAGUUACAUUAUGUGGAAAUAUUAUUAUUCUAUCAUUUAUGGAUGUCUAAUAUCAUUUGCUUCUGUUUUUAUUAACUGUUGUGGGUAGUUCAUAGAAGUUUCAGUAACUUCAAAGAACUUAUUAUGCAUAGAAGAUUAUAUUAAUGAUAAUUUCAAGUUAGGAUUUUUGAAUGAUUAUCGGAAAUUUAGUGACAUUUUGAUUCUGAAACCUUAUUUGAAUUAUUCAUUAAUAUGAUAAGUCUGUGCAAAAUGAAUGCAUGCGAGUAGCAUGGAGAAUGAUGUCAUGCGAGAGUUCAGGCGUUUUGAGAAUGCCAAGAAAAUAUGAGAAGCAUUGGCAGCAAGAUUUGGUCAUGCAUUGGUGACCAAACUGAGGCGGCUCACUAUAAGAUUUGACUCUUACAAGAAUCCUCAUGGUCAGACCAUGAAACAACACUUGAGAAAUAUCUCAAACAUGAUUAAUGAGCUGAAAGAUGAUGGCCAUGUCGUAACUGAUGAGUAGUAAGUGCAAGCAGUGAUUCGUUCUUUGCCUCAGGGUUGGGAGCAUAUGAAGGUGCACCUAACCCACAAUGAGAACAUCAAAAUCUUUGAGGAUGCAGUGCGCCAUCUUAAGCUAGAAGAAGACCGCAACCUGACGAUUAAGUUAGAAACCGACAUUUAUUAUGUUGGUUUUAGCUCACAUAGAGCUUCGAGCUCGAAGCGCAAACGUCCUGAUUGGUUCAAAAGGUGGAAAGCUAAGGGAGCAAGUUCUUCAAGGAAGAAACCAAAAGUUAACCAACAUGAAAGAGGAAAUCGUCCUUGAAUGAAUAAGCUGUCAAGGGUGAAGUGUUACAAUUGUGAUAAAAUGGUCACUAUGCUCGUAACUAUCGCAAGCCAAAGAAGGCACACACCCAUUGUGCUUUUGGGAACUUUGCUUAUGUGUCAAGUUCAGUAUUCUUAACGAAACUAAUCAUUUGUGAACUAUAGAUUUAGGAGCAACAGGCCAUGUAGCGAAGGAUAGAGAAUCCUUCGUGGAAUUUCGACAAGUACCGAUUGGAACUAAGUGGAUCUAUGUAAGAAAUAACUCCAAAGCCAAAGUAAAAAGGAUUGGCACCUGCCAAUUGAACAUGCGUGGUGGAUGUACUUUGUUUUUACAUGAUGUUGUCUAUGCUCCAGAGAUUUUUCAGAAUUUAGUGUCUAUUUUAGUGUUGGUAAAGCUUGGUUUUAGUUUUGAACUUCCAUAAUAAUGGUGUGGAUUUGUAUUUGAAUAGAAAAAUAUGGUUGUGGUUAUUUUCUAGAUGGUUUUAUUAUAUUGAAUGUUGACUGUGGUGAUGUCAAUGUUUGUUAUUCCAUUUUCACUUCUUCUAUUUCAUACAAUAAUGAUGUGAAUGAGUGAUAUGCUAGACUUGGCCAUAUUGGCCAAUAGCAUAUGAAUAGGCUAGCCAAAGAGGGCUUGUUAGGCAAUAUUGAAAAAAUUGAUUUGCUCAUAUGUGAAUAUUGCCUAGUGGGGAAAACAAUAAGGAGACCAUUUGGAAAAGGUAAAAGAGCUGAAUUUCCUUUGCGAUUAAUCUAUUCUGACAUAUGUGGUCCAAUGAAUGUGAGAUGAAGGUAUGUGAUUGUUUAUUUCAUCACAUUUAUAGAUGAUUACACUCGACUCGGACAUGUCUAUUUGAUUUCUCAUAAAUCUAAAGCAUUGAGUUGUUUCAAAAAUUUUAUGAGCUUGGUAGAAAAUCAAUUAGAUAAGAAAAUAGAAGUAUUGAGAUUUGAUCGAGGUCGAGAAUAUUUAUCUGAUGAGUUUAGAGAUUUAUGUGAUGAAAAAUGAAUAGAAAAACAGCUGUCUAUUUCAUACAUUUCUCAACAAAAUGGUGUUGUGGAAAGAAGAAACAAAACCCUAUUGGAAAUGGUUAGGUCCAUGAUGACGCAUACUAACUUACCUAUCAAUUUUUGGAGUGAUGCUUUAUUAACUACUGCCUAUAUACUUAACAGUGUGCAUUCCAAAUCAGUUACUUCAACUCCAUAUGAGUUAUUGAUAGAUAGAAAAUCGGACUUAAGUUUUCUCAAUGGAGAAUUAGAGGAAGAAUUAUAUAUGGAAUAACCUGUUGGUUUCAUUAUAAAAGGCCAUGAAUAAAAGGUAUGUCGACUUAUGAGAUUGAUAUAUGGGCUUAAGCAGUUGUCGAGACAAUGGUAUAUACAUUUUCAUAAUGCCAUAAUUGCAUAUUAUUUUUCGAUAAUUGAUUAGGAUCAUUAUGUAUAUCAAAAGAUCCAAAGAUCAUUUUGUGAUCAUAUCAUUAUAUGUUGAUGAUAUACUAAUUGCCGGAAGCAAUAUGAAGUUUGUAAAUACUGUCAAGAGUUGGUUAUCUUCCAAUUUUGAGAUGAAAGACAUGGGUAAGGCUGCAUACAUUCUUAGAGUUAAGAUUUCAAGAAAUCGUUCAAGAGAUUAUUAUCUCUUUCGCAAGAAACAUACAUAAAUAAGGUUAUUGAACAAUUUUAUAUGCAAGAUUGUAAACUCAUAGAUACUCCUAUUGCAAAAUGUGAAUGAUUGAGCCAUAGAAUGUGUCCAAAGACUCCACAAAAGAAGGAACAAAUGCAACAUGUUCCUUAUGCUAGUGCUAUUAAAAGCUUAAUGUAUGCUAUAAUGUGUACAAAACCUGACAUAUAUUUUGCAAUUAGAAUGGUGAGUAGAUACCAAUCCAAUACAGGUCAAGCACAUUAGAAAGCCAUUAAAAGAAUACUGAAGUAUUUAAAAGGAACUGCUGAUUAUAUGUUGAGUUACCAAGGAAAUGAUUUGCGACUUGAAGACUAUUUAGAUGUUGAUAAGGGAGGAUUUAGAUGAAAGGAAAUCUACCAUUGGAUUUGUUUUCUUACUGAAUAAUGACGCAAUAUCUUGGAGCAGUAAGAAACACACGUAUAUAACCAUGUUCACGAUGGAAGUUGAGUUCGUGGCAUUAUCAGCAGCAAUACAAGAAGGUGUUUGGCUUAAGAGAUUUUUUUGGAUCAUUUAGGUAUUAUUGAGAAUAUUGCAAACUCAUUGUUGGUUAACUGUAAUAGUCAAGUAGCGAUAGCGUACACUAAAGAUCCAAAAUAUUAUGAUAAGACUAAACAUAUAUAUACCAAGUAUAAUUUUGUCAAAGAUAUGGUUGCACGAAAAGAUAUGAACUUAUAGCACAUAUUUACGCAUAGAAUGGUAGCAAAUCCUAUGACGAAACCAAUACCUAAAUCUGUGUUCUAUGGACAUGUGAAAUCUCUAGGAUUACGUAGAGGCUGAUGUACUGAAUAUUGUAAUUUCCCUAAAGUGUUCACACGAGUAAUCACCUCUAUUUACUACGUGAUAAAUAGAAAUGAGACAAUUUUUAAGCUUAUUAUCUAGGUGAUAAUCGAGAGCUCAAGCUUAAAAUUUAUAUGUCAUCUUAACUGAGUGUUAAGAUGAUGACAUAAUAUUUAAUAUGUCCGAAAGUAAAAUAACCCACAUAUUUUACUUUAUCUGUCUAUAAUGUCAAAUGUGAGUUAUGAUGAAUUAUGUGAAUGAGUAGAUAUGUGAACUCGAGUUAGACAUUAGGUAUGUUUGAAUUAUCAUCUGUACGGUAUUGAAGGUGUAGACAUAUGCUCCAUGGGAAAUGAGUUAAUAUCGUAAUACGUAUUUCAUACAACGUAUGCAUGAGACGAUCAACAAUAGUGGCAAAAGUUUUUAUCUCAACUUUUAUACCGUGUGAGACUCUUAAGGAAAAGAGUUCUUCAAUUAAGUACCCUUAUGACUUUUACUUAUUCUCAAUAUUUCUAUUCAGUGUUUGUUAUCUUAGAAUAUUGCCAACGAUCAUGAAUUGAUUCGAUCUAAUUGGACAUUUCUAGAAAAGUAAGUUGAAUUGAAAUUGAGAGUUUCAAGGAAAGAGGAAAAUCGAAUUUGGAGAAUCACAUUCUAGUUUUGUAUUCACUGGUCAACCAAUUAUAAUUGUUUUUAGGAUAACCAUAAUUGUGAAUACAAUAUAUCAUUGUUUAAAAAGAUAUUAAGAGAGAUAUAAAUGUGAUUGAUCGAUUUAGGGUACUGCAUAUUAAAUCUACUCAAAAUUGUGAUGCUUAUUAUGAGCUGCUAUAUAUUUCUAAUAGAUGUAUGGCAAUGAGCUCUCAAAGUAUGCUGGUCGCACAGAUUAUUCACCGGUAUGAAUGUUGUAAAAAGGUAAAAAAAAAAGAGAGAUCUGUUUGGCCCACCAUGUGCGAGUGGGAGAUGAUGGGUUUUUAUGUUUUGAUGGGCUUAUUUAAGCCCAUCCACCCAUGUUGGGCCAAAACCCGGCCCAUAAGUGAAGGGCCCGUAGAGGAGUGCAAUUACUGUAAAAUAAAAAAUAAAAAGGGAAAAUCUUGGCAGUUAAUAUAUGUGAUCAGUUGGUUAUCAGAUAAGCAGCGUCUUUGAAAAGAGAGAAUACAUUUUCUCAGUUUAACGCUCUCUUAGUUUUCCUAAGUACAAUACGCUCUUUUGAAGAACAAUAUCAGAAUUUCUCAUCAAACUGCGACAACGGUGUUUAAUCUGUGAAAAACAAGGUAUGUUCGACUAUGUAAUAUACUUUAUGAUUGGUGUAACAUGUUUUUUGGGGACCCUUUCUGCAUUUGUUUCUCGGCAUUCGAUUGAGUAUCAGCUCAUUAUUUUUUGGGAAUCCGUUUCCCUACAAAUAGGAGCAAGUGUGUCCUGAGAAAGUGAGGUGGGAAGAGCGUGAGCAUGUAUUGUCAAUUUUUUGGCAGAUGGGAGCCGUGCGUUUCAUUUAUGAAAUGGUAUUAGAAUUAUAUGUGUAUGUAAAGGAGUAUGGUCACGAACCUAUAUUUUCGAAAUAAUUUCAUAAUAUACAUGCGAAGCGACUAUAACAUUUUACUUGAUAAAAUUUAAUCUCUCUCUCACGCACGCGUGUGAACUUUCAUGUGUAACAUGGACAGCGCUAGCAUGACCACGCUGUCACUUUCUAUGAGUAAAGGUGCAGUUUGGGCUUUUCAUUUUUGCAUAAUGGGGCAACCGGAUGUAAAUUUGCUUUGGAAAAUGAUCUUUUUUGCACGUGCUGGUAUUUUAAGAAACAAAUCUAAUGAUAUUCGAGAAAGAGAAAUUCAUGAAGAGUUGACUACCGAUUUUAGAUGGUGGAUAUUCAUCCAAAAUUUUAGAAGAUGAUAUCAUGUAGUCAAGUGUCGGAAAAUCACAUACUAUAAAUAAAAAUAUUCACAUUUUACAAAGGUUGCACUUAUAACAUAAAUUAGAAAUUUUUCAUAUACUAUCAUAAUUUUAAUAUUAAAAUAUUCUUUGUUGCACUUGGUUAUAAUAAAACUUCAUCAAACGUCAUUGCAAAAUACUUGAAAAUUUUGAAAAUAUUAAAACAUCAUAUAUUAACAUGUGUAAUUGGUCCGUUUAUGAAAUCUAGUGGUGGUGGUGGAGGCGGCAAUAGUAGUGGUAAUAGCAGCAACAAUAGUAAUAUUGUCCGUUUAGGAAAUUUAGUAGCAGUAACACUUCUUGUGGCUAAUAACUCCAUUACUCAUGCAAAAAGUGACGGACCAUUAUGUGGGCAUUACCCAUUAUACAUAGACCUGUAUUAGCAUCUACUUCUCCCUUGAAAAGCCAUUGAACUUGAAUUGUUGAAGCAAAUAGUUGAGUUGAGUUACUCUGUAGUAACAGAGAAAUUGUCUAAUGAAUCCCAAAUUCAUUGUUAGAUAUUAAUUCUGUUUUGAACUUUUUAAUCGUGUCAAUUUAGCCCUAAACAUUUGCACAAAAUCCCUAUGUAAUCAUCUCAGCUAAUUUUCACUGGAAAUUAUUGGUGUGACACUCCAAUGAAUUUACAAGUGCAUUGAACACUCAACUAAAGCUGCUCUAGCCUGCAGCUUCCUCAAAGUAGAAGUAGCUAUACAACAUGACAUGUAUAAACUCGGUAAUCAAUCAUUUCAAACGACGCGAAGAAUAUACAUGUCUCUUCUAAAGGAGGCAUCAAAGACUUCACUUGUAACUCUUCCCCAACUCCGCAUUCUCUACUUCAUCACUUUAAAGUUUGAACUAUUUAAUAUAAAGUUCAUGGAUUUUCAAACCCAUCAAGAUUCUUAGAAAAAGAACCACUAAACACUACUAAUCUCAUUAACUUAUUGUCUUAAUAUGGAAACAAAAGCAAGUUUCCCACUUUUACUCUUCCCCUCUUCCCCAAAUAGACAACCUCUAAUUAGGUUUGUGGUCCUAAAGAAUCAUGAAAGUAGGUAAAUCAUUUUUGAUCGAAUCCAUUCACAUUCAUUAAGGACUUUCUGUCAUUUUCUUUGAUUUGUUCUUCUUAUCAAGGAUCUUAAUAUGGAUAUUUCUAAGAUUUUGACCACCGAGCGUGGCCAGCAGCCAAGUGUAAUGGGUGAUGUGUACAAGGCUCAAAAGCAAACUCGCCGCUGUAUAAUUGAUGGACAGUUUUAGCGACUCAAAUUGUACUCAGAUUUCAUGAAUUGAGAUCUGAACUAAGAAUGAGUGUUUGGAUUUGGCUCAUACCCGUGUGAUCAUGACCCUUUGUCUCAGCCUUUGCAGCAUGUGUGUUGCCCAGGAGGUAAGAGGCAUGAAGCCUUGACCUCAUCCUCACCUUCCUUUGGCAUGUCCCCCAAAGCGUUUAGGAUUCCAAACUUAACAGGGACAUUAGGGUUGCACUCAUUUUGGGAUUUAGAACAACACCUUGUGGCACGAGCUAACGACCAUCAUAUGCACCACUUGUAUCGUCCGCAUUCCCAAAGGCAUGCCCCUCUAGCAUUGCAAAUAACUUCUGUAAUUUUGGAAGCAAAAAUAUGAGAAACAAAGGAUUAGCGAGGCAUACCCCCUGGCAUUGCAAAUAACUUCUGUAAUUUUGGACGCAAAAUACAAGAAACAAAGGUUUAGCAUUUCUUGAGGAUCAAUCACGAUUGAGAAGCCAUUUCUCAUGGGCAUGUCCUUAUACAAAGCCCCUUCUGAUGGACAAGGAUGAAAGUAGUUACUUGCUAUUAGAAAAAGAGAUAUCUGAAAGUGGUAUACACAAGUGAAAGAUCAUGAAGCAAUCUCCACUAAGCUGACCUAUCUUGCUGCUUCAAUUGGGUUUGUCAAUGAUUGAUUGGAGAUGAAUUUAGCAAUAAUAAGUAUGCCAAGGGUAGUGCUCAAAUCGGGUAGGGCCUCGAUUCACUAGAGCAGUCUGUGAUGCCUAAGUUAGUACGUGUAUCUAAGGGGAGAGAGAUAGAGGCCAUAUGCCAGGAUUUUAUAAUUAAGAAUUUGUUUGUUUCAUCAAAAAUUUCUUGAUAAAAAGUAAUAUUUACCAUGAAAAUCAUUAUUAAGGAAAACGUUAAAUUUUCAUUUGUUUAGUAGAUUAAGAAAAGUGAUUUCCUUCUUGCCAAAAAGAAGAAGUAAUUUUCUUUCAAUCUAAACUUCUUGUUUUCAGUCCAUGGAAAACGUUUCCCAUAACUUAAUUAGUUUUCCAUCAUUCAAAUAUCGGAAUGUAAGAAAACAAUUUCCUACAAACGGUCUUCUUUCAAAUAAAUGGAUCCUGGUAUUAUGGAAGAGGUAGACUAGGAGCUUUACCUAGUGGGCCAUAAGAAUUGGACCUAAGCAUCCCAAUCCAAUUGUAGUAAGCCAAUAUAAGGAGGCCCAUUUACAAAUAAGUGUUUGGAUCAUGUAUUGAACAUAGCAAUUGGGCCAUGCAAGAGUGGAUGGGCUUUGCUUAUUUAAUAUUCUGGUUUGCGUGCUACGGCAGGGUCCAAUGGUCACAUUUGCAAUUGCAUGGGCUUUUGCUUUUUUGAUAUUCCGGUUUGCACGUUUCACAAAUCAAGGAAAAUUUCAAUUAAGAGCCUAAAGUAGAACCGUUUUCUCAAGAAAGGACCCAAAAUGGAUAUUGUCUCAAACAAGAACCUAAAGUGACUAACUUAAUUUCAAAUAAGGGCCUCAACUUAAAAGCCAACCAAAUCUUAUUUGCAUAUAGGGGUAUUUUCGUCUAAAUUUUUUUUUCCUUCUUUUUUUUUUAAAUUUAUUUUCUCAUUCUCUUUCUUUUAUUCAUCAUCAUCAUCGUGCCUUCGCCUUUUUCACUCUUUAGAUCGCUUUCUCCAAAGUCCAUCUCUAGCUUCCUUACCGAAUUAGCCAUCAAUGCCCUCAACCUCAUUUGUAAUUGCCCUCAACAGCAAUUCCAAUACAUUUGUUGAAAGAUGGAGGUCAAUCCAAGCCCUAGAUCAAGCACGAGUGGACCAAGAUGUGACGCUUAGGUCGAUUCGAUCCCCACAUCUUGCUGUCGUGGUAAACCACGAAGCAUGAUAAGUUGUAAGCCAUUAGCUUGCUGCCCUUGUUGUCGUCGAUGCUUGAAUUCAAAUCGGUGUUCACGCAGGCUAUGAUUGAUCUUAGCGAGGAGAAGCUAGAUUGAAGUUCCUAAGCCAAAUUUAUUAAAGGUUUUUGAGGAAUCUCUGUGAUACUCAUGUGCAUUGAUUUGUUUAGUGAAAUACGUGGUUUUGGAAAUUCCUGAGCGAUUUUGUACUUUUUUCAUUUUGUUAUUCUCUCUCAAAUCUGUGUAGAUAAUAUUUCAGAGUUAGAGAGGCAAAUUUGUUUGAACAUGUGUAGACCAGAGUCAUUUGUUUUUUAGAUUAAGUGAUGUCUGAUUCGAAUUGCCACCAAAGAUGAGUAUCUCCAAUCAUGGGUUAGAAUGAUUCAGCAGCCUUUGAAAAUAACCCGCAUGCACGACACAAUAGGACCCUCUCAAGAAGCCAUAUAUUCCACCUCAAUGCAAGCUGUGUCUAUGAAUGUUAUGAAUAAUCCAACCCGGACCCAAUAAAACAUUCCCAAGAAGCUAUGAGUGAAAGUUAUCGUGGCAUCGACAAUUUCAUUGGUGGGGAGAGCAUGAAACUGUUACUUUAAUUGCCAUAAUAAGUUUUUAAGAAAAUUGAAUAAAAACAAAACCCACUGAUGAUAUUUCUUGAUUCUCAAGUCCAUUAUUGUCAUCGGAGAAAGUGAGUGGUGGCGAAUAACUUAAAAACCAGCUUAUGCCAAAAUCAAUGAGUUCUUGGGUGAGGAUGCAAAAUUGCAUAAUGUAGAGCAUGCGCUUUGAAGUUUGCUAAUGGGGAGGCUGCAAAACUGAAGCACACAAUUUGCAGUUUUCCAAAACUGCAUAACUUCUUAAAUAUCUUUUCGUUUUCUUCUUUUCCUAAACUGUUUAAAUUGUUUUACACUUGUGCAAGCUCGUGUGUGAGGAGUCUGAUGCAUUUGUUAAGAAGGAGGUGAGCAAGAUGAAAAAAGAAAGAAAAAAAAAGAAAAAGGAAAAAAAAAGUCUUUAGACGAAAAUACCCCUAGCUGCAAAUAAAAUUUGAUUGGCUUUCAAGUUGAAACCCUUAUUCGAGACUAAAUUGGUUACUUCUGUCCCUUAUUUGAUACAAUGUCCACUUUAGGCCCUUUUUUGAGAAAGCAGUUCCACUUCAGGCCCUUAAUUGAAAUUUUCCCCACAAAUCACAACCUGCAAUAGUUACAUAUAGACUGAUCUCUCCUACAUUAAAUGGAGUAGGCUUGAAAGAUCUAACUUUAUGCAUGUUUUGGACCUCUUAUACCUUAAUUUUGUGCAAAUCAAAUAAAUAUUUUAUCAUCGUCACCUAUACAUAAACUUUUUAAAGUCCUUAAUGUGAUUUUUUUUUUUUUUAUCUCUUUUGAGCUUCACAAUUGUUGUUUCAAAUGCUUAUUACAUUUAGUUGUACCAAGAACGAUAAUAUACAUGUGAAUUGGAACUUUCUUGGGAUGAGAAUGUAUAUAACUACCGAUAAUUCGAAAUUAGUGAAUGGAAACGUGCAAAACCACUAGCAUUUUGAAUUACUAAAGCAUCCUCUUUUGGAUCUUUUCCUUUGCUAGUCUUGAAUCCAAAUCAUGGGUGUUAAUAAAUAAACAUAGACAGAUUUCAUCAACAAAACUAAUAAACUAAAUAAAAUAGAGAAAGAGAUACUAGGUAACAAGAAUCAUAGCUGAAAUCAUAUAACUUUUAAAAUUGGGCAUCCUCUUCUGAUGGUUGCUCGAUGAUUCAAGCUUUUUAUUUUCAAUUCAUGCAGAAUAUUUUCAGUCGAUUGAGUAGUUUUCCAUCAUCAAAACGCUGAAAAGUCCAAAAAUGAUUUUUCAAAAAUGGUUUUUUAUCAAACAAGCUGACCUUGAGGAUCUUACACGUACCUUUAGUAGGAACAAUUCAUCUUCAUCAUUGAGAUACGGAUUUUGAUUUAGCAACUGGAAGGUAAAGAAAAGACAAAAAAGAAGAGUAUAAACUCUUGACUAUAAAAAGAAGAAAUAAAUGGGAGAUGGUUAAAUUGCUUCUGUCCUUUUCCAUCAUCAAAGUACAAGCUUGUUGCUCAUUACAUCCUUAAAUAUUGCUAAAAAGAGCUAGGUUAACUAAUUUUUGUCACUUCAGUGAAUCUUACAUAGUGUAAAGUUGAAUUCCGUCGGUUUCUAAUUAGAACCAAUGAUAAAGUACCAAGUGUGUUGGAUUCCGAUGUAAUUGGGUAUUUGGAAGUGUCUCAUGUUGCCGAAUAUAGCAUUAGGAAUCACUAUGACAAAAGAGAAUAGAAUCAAAAUCAAUCAUGAUAAAGAUCGAAAGUAUACGCGCUUCUGACAUCAGGAGAAUAUUUGGAUCAAAGGGCUCCUUGCUUUUGAAUGAAGAAUUGAUAGAUAAAGCAUUUUGAAUAAGAGUUACUUCUUCUUUUUUACUAUACUUGUAAAUUUGCACACGUACUGCAUGUGCGCAAGAAAUCGAGGUCUGAAAAAUUGAGCAAAUUCACUUUAUUAUGAAAUGUUAAAAUUGCUAAAUAAUGGGAAACGGAUUAUUAAUAAUGAUACACAAUUCAAUUGUGUAUAUAUUUGUGGACUAAAGAAUUUCAAGAUUGAAAUCUUUUUAAGAAAGUUGUUUAGGAUUGAAAAUAUGUAUAUUUUUAUGUUAAUGCAUGUGAAGAUAUAAAAUAUAAUCGUAAGUUUAUGCAUUCGUGCAUAGACACAAUAUUUAUAAAAUAAAUAUCUAAUGAUUUUUGGGGAAAGAGAAGAACCGAUUGAGAUCAAUAUUUACAGCCCGUAAGCUUUAGAAAUUGGAAGAUGAAAAUUAUCUUUUUAAUUUGUGUUUAGCUUCUCAAGAACCCAUUUUGAAUAUUGAUAAUAGCUGAAGAAUAUGUUCCAUGGUAUUUCCCAUUUUAGAAUGCCAAAAAGUGAAAUUGGUUUUUAGAAGCACUUAUUUUAAUAUGCUUACGAGGUUCCAAUGCUUCCCACCACGAACUGCUUUCAAGCCUGGUUGCGAUAAUCUAAUUUAAGUGAGGUUGUUAUCGAUUAUUUUCAUCUACGAAAAUAUAAUAUAACACAUUGUAUUAAUCACAUAAUGGAAGCAUGCCAUAUUUACUGUGACAUCCCGAUUUUUCAAUUCUAUUUUCAAUAAAUUGAGACAAGCAUUUCGUUGGCACGCAUAUAGUUUUUUUCCUUGAGUCGGCCACGCAUGUGAAAACUAGUCUAUCGGGUGAAGCCGUUAAGAAAUUCUAAUGCAUCAGACUCGAGAAUUUGACUAGGAAGCGAUCUUUCGACCGAGCUAAUCUACAAGGGUCAUUACGGCACAAUUAAAAAUCGAUUAGAGAUCGGAAAUAGGUCGACUGGACAGAGGCAUGUAAUCGGGUGUGGGUGAUUACACCAGAUUGCACAAUUCUUGUCGAUCGGCACUGGACCGACUUUUUUAUCGAUUGGGUACCCUGUGUUCGUAUUUGAAACCUUGAGAUUACCCCGACAACCGAAAGUCGCCAAUGUUUCAAAGAUGUACGUUGUGGCUUGAGAUGAUCAACCACAUGUCAAAUGCAUGAAAAUUUUUAAAGGCUACCCGGUAGGUUAGACCGCGCUGGUAUCAUGCCAAAGUGAAAUUAACCGUGGAAUUGAGAUCGAAUUCAGAAAUUGGAAAUCUGGGUGUGUCACAAAUCAUUUCAGGAUCAUUGAAUCAUCUUUGGAAGAUUUUUCAUGCAAUCAGAGUUUUUCAGCAAUUAAAUCAGAGAAUGGCUAAUUUGGCUCGAGAAAUUAGUAGGCUCGUCUUUGGUCGCGCUUUUGGGACUUAAGUCGGUUCUAUGGACAAGUGAAGAUGUGAAUUAGAGUGUGGUGGCAUUGGAUUAAUUUUAUGGACUUCAAUUUGAUUCAAUUGGGAGAGAAUUGAUUGGAAUUGAAGGAAUUGAUGUACAAAGUUUUAUGCCCCGGCGGAAAAUGGAAUUGCAACCAUUGGAAUAAGGUUGUGGGAGAUAGUGGAGUGUGAUGUCAUCCUAGGUCAUGGUGGGCCAUUUUUGUUGGAUAAAAGAAAGAGAAAAAGAAAAUAAAAAGGGCCCCCCUCCUUCUCUCUCCUCCCUCUCUUCUUCCUCUCUCCCGUGCGACCACUCUCCAUCUCCAUUUUCUUCUCCAGCUUCGAACCAAGCAACCGGAAGCCAGCAGCCAUUGCAGCUGCAGCUGGAGCCGUCGCCGCCUUCGCCCUUCCGCUCGUCGUCGCAGCCGCGCCUCGCCGCUCGGACCUCGGCCUCCCUCUCUCCUCUCUUCUCCAUCUCCGGUUUCUACUCCAAGACCAGCAGAUCUGAGCACGCCGAGGAUGGCUGCAGCUCAGCCGGACCGCCGUUCGCCGCUCGCCCGACCAGCUCGCCCGUCGCCGAAGCUCGUUGCUGUCGCCAUUCGUCCACAUGCACGUUGUCUUGUGCGCGAGCUACUCCGCCCUCCUAUCUCUGCUUCGUGUUUAGCGCCAGCAGCCAUCGUCNNNNNNNNNNNNNNNNNNNNNNNNNNNNNNNNNNNNNNNNNNNNNNNNNNNNNNNNNNNNNNNNNNNNNNNNNNNNNNNNNNNNNNNNNNNNNNNNNNNNGCCGCCAUUGACCUCCCCACCGCCCAUCAAGCCCUCGCCGGUUUCUCGCCCAUUCGACGCGGAUCCGCCCUUCUCGGCCCCAAAUCAACAGCUGGAAAAUGGGUAUGGCAGCCCAUGUUUGGCCCAUUUUGGCGUCUUCCUGAGCCCGGAUGCUCGGCCCGCCUUGAGGAAAGUCGAUCCUCGCAUCGUCCCUGUCGUUUUGGUCCGCUCGGUUCGUUAAUCCGGUGAGUUUAGCUCACUAAACCUUGAUUAGAGGGUUAAUGAUGUUUUAGGGGUGCUUAUAUGUUAAGUGUUAUUAGGUGGUUAGUUUAAUUUAUUUAAGUGUAGAUUAUAUUAAGGUGUUUGAUUAACUUAAAUUGUGUUUAAUUUAAGGUUAAGUGAGUGGUUAUAUUAAUAUAAGCAUUGAUGUGACAUAAAGGAAUUUACUUUUGAGUUAUUUAAAUAUCCCGAAAUUAUUAAAUAAUUUAAUAAUAUAUUAUUAUUCGAAAUUAUUAAAAUAUUAUUAUUUAAUUAUUUUCGGAAGAAAUUUAAUUAUUUAUUAAAUUCCGAAAAUUUUGUCAGCACCUUAAAUUCUCAAAAUUUCGUGCCGAUCGCUGCUAUGUAGUCAGAUUUUGAAAUUGAUGAUUGGAUAUUAUAAAUUGAGUGUUGAUUGUGAUAAAUAGAGAUUUUAUUCAUAAAAACCCAAGUGUCGGGUUUGGCAUUGAAAUUGGAUUUUUAAUGGUUAAUAUCGUAAUUGGAUUAUGUGAGUGAAAUGUAAAGUAUCUAGGGAUCGGUAUCGAAUUAUCGUGUGCUGGUUGAAAGGCUCGGAUCGCAGUAGUGGCUAGGCCAACUGGACCCUUAUUUUGCUAUAAAUGCCGUCAAGAGAGUGACGUGGCUCGGGUCGCAGUAGUGGCUAGGCCAACUGGACCUUUAUUCAUUUAGAAAUGCCGUCAAGAGAGUGACGUGGCUCGGGUCGCAAUAGUGGCUAGGCCAACUGGACCUUUAUUCAUUUAGAAAUGCCGUCAACAGAGUGACGUGGCCCGGGUCGCAGUAGAGGCUAGGCCAACUGGACCCAUGCUCCUUCGGGAAUGCCGUCGACAUAGUGACGAAGCCGCGCUCCAAGGGGGGGAGGCGAUGCCUAGCAUUAAUGUUAGAAGAUAGCCGAACUGCAAGUAGGCUAUGCCCUUGUGUGGCAGCAAAUAAUAAUUGGAAUGCGUGCUAAGUGCGGCUGUGAUUUAUAUGAAAGUGAUGGCGUUCCAAUUGUUUGAAUUAUUAUUACUACCUAUGAUUGAGUGAUUUGAAUUGUGCUAACCUGCAGAAAGGAUCUAAGGCAAGGUAAGUUCUCUAUGUGAUGUGGCUAGGCCACCCUUAGGCGUAUUUUCUUUCUAAUAGGGGUUUAGGGGGUUGAACUUGUUGAGACAUUGUCUCAUCCCGGUUUGGGGAUUAAAAUUUCAGGUCCCUAGAUGGCGGUCGUGGAGGACCCGAAGCCCUAAGUCUGGAAAGGUGGAGACUGAAGUAUCGGUGAACGUGUCCUGCUAGUUGGUUUUAGGAUAGUUCCCCUUUUAUCGAACUGGUCUAUUUUGUAGACGGUCCAGAGUUGUAUUUAAACCUAUGUGUUUGUAAAUGAGUGUUUGGUGUUGCGAUUGAUUGCCUUUUUUUCUAUACCAAGUUAAAUGUUGUCAGGGGAUUUGUUUCGCUUCCACAUGCGUAAUGAAAUGAAUGGGUCGGCGACAUAUCCUGGGAUGUCGCAUAUUUGAUUGACCGCAGUGGGAUGUGCGCGCACUCGGGGUUCAGGGCGUGACAUCCCCGUUUAAGUGGUAUCAGAGCAUGGUUUGUGUAUGGAGUGAUAAGGUGCGAUGAGUCACGAGAUAGUUAGUAGGAAAGGCUUUUAAUAUACUGAUGCAUGUGGUUAAUAGUUGUUUGGUAAUGUGUUUGUGGGGUCACUCAAAUUCUAACAUGAUGUUGGAAUCGGAAAACUGGCGUCUAUAAAGAGCCUGUAGCAUGAGUGACCAGGAGUGGAGAACUCCUUGGAGGAGGUCGAUAGGACUUGUACCUCGGGGUAAGAUGCUGACAAGAGUUGGUACCCGAGGUAGAGCGCAGGCUCAGUCUAGCGUGUGUGUGAGAGUACCGCCGUAGGCAGGUACUGAGAGUGUAGCAGCACCGAGCGAUCUUAGGUUCGUUGGGAUCGUUCAGGCACUAGUGUUCCUUGGAAGCUUGUUGGGUCAGUAAGCUCAGGACCAAGCUGCCGUUGUUGCCGUUAUUUCUACCAAUGCCAGUGUUAUGACCGUUGUUGUUGCCACGCCUAUUGAGGCCCAAUCUGGAGUGGUGAUCGAGGAUCAAGCCAUCGUAUCUAAGUCAAAGUUCAGCUUAAGCAGAGAUGGAAAUCGAUUGGGGAGAAAGGCCGAUGUUAGAAGAAAGGUGCCCUGUUUCACCCAACCGGAAGAGUAGAGUUGGAAAGUCAGUGUUCAACUCGAUCGAUGUGUGUCGUGUCUGUAAGAAAAGAAAGAGAUCUAUUCCGUGUUGUAAGAGAGAAAGGAUUUGUUACAAGGGUCGCUAGUACAGUCAUUUGAUCAAAGAUUGUCCGUAUAGACAGAUGGAAUCACAGCUGUUUCUAUCACCGCCGUUGUUAAGUCAAAACAGAGGAAGCAUGCUUUAAGAUGUUUAGUGGGGUACUUGGAAUGAACCUUAGUGCAAGGAAGGGUGCAUGAUGUUCCUUGAUGGGAGAUAACGAAUUCACUGGUCGUGUGCCGAGAUUGUGGAAAGGAGGCUUGAGUCAGCCUAGUGUUAGAGUAAAAAUGGGGACGUGCUUUGAAUGUGGCUAGCAUGGCCGUCAGGUUAGGAACUGUCCGUGUAAGUUUAGGAGAGUGUAAGCACCGUUACUGCAGAUAGAACGCCGCUAGGAUGGCGAAAGGAAUAGGAAUGGAUUGACUAUGCAUUAAUUAAGGGAAGAAUGUUUUGAGGUGUUUUAUCAGAGUAGCACAACAGGAUUUUGAGUGAAGGUUGUGGAGUUUCCGUUGUUGUAAUAAAGUAAUAGGAAGAUGAGUCUUUGACUAUAGUUAUACCUGAUGGGUUUGCUUAUGUAUGACUUGGAAGUCAUUUAUGAAAAGGUCUGGCUCGAGGAGCUUUCCGCUGUUAUGAAUCGUGGCAGUGAUAUAAUUCGGUUUGUUCAGUCAGCGUAUGAAAGUUUUGAAUUACUGAAAGUCGAAGAGGAACUUCAAUCCUUGUUAUUCGUCGUUGAAGAUGACUUGGUUCUAUUUGUUGGUUACCGAAUUUGCAUGGCAGCUGUAAUGGGUAUGUCAGUUGAGAAGCUGAAUAUGGAGAACAUAAUCAUGGUACAUAAGUUUUCUAAGGUAUUCUCUGAAGAAUUGUCAGGUUUGUUGUCAGAAAGAGAAAUAGAGUUCGUGAUGAAAUUAGCACCCGGAACAGAGCCAGUCCCUAAGGCUCCUUACCAGAUGGUGUUACCCGAGUUAAAAGAACUGAAGGUGUAGAUGUAGGAAGUGUUGGAUAGGGGAUUCAUACGUUCCAGUGCAUCAUCUUGGGUAGCAUCUUUUCUAUUCGUGAAGGAGAAAUGUGGUUCGUUGUAGUUGUACAUCGAUAUUCUUCAAGAUCGACUUGAGGUCAGGGUAUCAUUAGUUGAGGAUCAGGAAGAAAGACAUAUCGAAGUUAAGUCACACUCGAUACAGUAGUUAUGAGUUCACUGUAAUGCUGUGUGGUUUAAUGGACACCCCAACUGUUUGUUUGGGUUUGAUGAGCAGAAUGUUUAAGGACACUUGAAUCAGUUGUGAUCGUGUUCAUUGAAGUUAUCCUAGUGUGUUCGAAGAGUGCCGAGGGGCAUGAGAGACGUUUGAGGAUGGUACUUCAGACCUUAAGUACUCUUGGAUUUUACAAUAAGCUUAGCAGAUGCGAGUUUUGGAUGACUCGUGUUGCGUUCCUAGGUCUUGUGAUUUCAAGAGAAGGAAUCUCCGUAGGCCCCGUCCAAGAUUGAAGCAGCGACCAGUUGGCCGAUAUUGACUACAAUGACAGAGAUUGGAAGUUUCUGGGAAUUAGCAGGAUAUUACAGAAGUUUUAUGGAAGGGUUUUCAGCGUCAGCAUUGCAGUUGAUUCGACUACUGAGGAAGUAAGAAAAGUUUGUGUGGUCAGAUGAGUGCGAGCGUAGUUUUCAAGAGCUUAAGCAGAAGCUGACUACCGCACUUGUGCUGACCAUUCCAUCUGGUCUUGAAAGUUAUGAGAUCUGCAAUGAUGCAUCGUUUAAAGGAUUUGGUUGCUUGUUGGUGCAACAAGAUAGGGUUGUUGCAUAUGCGUUCCGUCAGUUAAGACCUCGGGAGUUGAAUAUGAGACAGCGUUGUUGGAUGGAACUCAUUAAGGAUUAUGACUAUGAUAUUUUGUAUCACUCUAGAAAAGUGAGCAAAGUCACAGAUGCACUGAGUCGAGAGUCCUUAGUUGCACAGUUGGUACUCAAGGAUUGGAUCUUAUUUGAGAAAGUUCGAAAUUCGGUUUUCAAAUCUAAGGUAGGCCACAUUUUGAAUCUUAUGACUACCCUCAGAAUUGAGCCGAGAGUACAGAUCAGAAUCAAAUCGUUUCAGUGGACAGAUUUAGAAAUUCAGAAGACUUUAUAAGAGAAUGCAGAUGAGGGAGAGGUUGAGUUUCAGAUCUCUGAAAACAUAAUGCUAAGGUUCUAAGGACGAUUGUGUGUAAUUGACGAUGCAGAGAUUAAAGAAGAGAUCUUAUGGGAAGUUCAUCAUAGCAAUUUCAGAGUCAUCUAGACGGUGCGAAGAUGAGUUAGAAUCUACAUCAUCGGGAUUGGUAGAUCAGUAUGAAGAUAGAUAUCGCCGAACACGUUGUAAGUGUUGAAUGUAUCAAUAAGUGAGAAUUUGGUAAUGUAAACCAGGAAAGCUUUUUCAAGCAUUUGAGAGAGUCAUGUGUAGGAAUGGAAGUAUAGCAUGAUGGAAUGUUAUGACAGCUUAUUAAGGAGUCGGGAAGAGUAUUGAUUCCUUAUGGGGUUGUGGUCGACAGAUGCACAAAGUCAACUCACCUUAGUGCAACACGAAAAGAUCUCGAUUAGAAUAGAUAUACCGAAGUGUGUGUAUAUCAUAUAAAUCAUCUGCAUGGAGUGCCGGGGAUGCAUUGUAUUUCAAAUCUAGAUCAGAUUCCAAGCUGGCAGAGCUUUUAGAUGGUUCCUUCUUAAGUAGCACAUAGCAGAGAGUGCAGAAUUUCAAUUGCUGAGAUGAAGUCAAGGAAAGAAAGAUCACAGGCCAGGGUUAGUACAACAGUCAGUGAUUGCAGUUGCCGAAAUCAGUGUCAAAGUUAUAUCAAAUCUUGACCAGAGGUUCCCAGUUUCAGCAGAUCAGUCAGAUAGUUUCUUUUUUUAUCAGUGCAGAGCAGAGUGUUCAGGACUUCAAUCGGUUAAGAUGAGAUCAGAGAUCAGAAAAUCGUAGGUCCAGAGUUUGUCCAGAAAUCAGUGAUUCGGUCGUGAUUAUUAGAGACAGUUUAGAGACUGCUCAGAAUCGCCAGUUUAGUUUCGCAGAUUUUGUAUUGAAGACCUUUUGAAUUUUAAGUGGGCAAGUGUUUAGUAUUGUGCAUCCGAAGUGGUUUGGGCAAGAUAGCAGUGAUCUGGCAUCGCUGAUAUAGAAAGAGCAACCUGAGAAAGAGAAUUCUAGAUGAGACGAGUGUACCCCCACCUUUUUGUUUAAGAAUUGGUAAAGGUUUAAAUUUCGAGGACGAAAUUUUUAUAAGAGGGUAAGAGUUGUAACAUCCUGAUUUUCCAAUUCUAUUUUCAAUAAAUUGAGACGGGCAUUUCGUUGGCACGCAUAUAGUUUUUUUAUCCUUGAGUCGGCCACUCAUGUGAAAACUAGUUUAUCGGGUGAAGCCGUUAAGAAAUUCUAAAGCAUCAGACUUGAGAAUUUGACCAAGAAGCGAUCUUUCGACCGAGCUAAUCUGCAAGGGUCAUUACGACACAAUUAAAAAUCGAUUAGAGAUCGGAAAUAGGUCGACUCGAUAGAGGCAUGUAAUCGGGUGUGGGUGAUUCCACCAGAUUGCACAAUUCUUGUGGAUCUGCACUGGACUGACUUUUCUGUCGAUUGGGUACCCUGUGUUCGUAUUUGAAACCUUGAGAUUACCCCGACAACCGAAAGUCGCCAAUGUUUCAAAGAUGUACGUUGUGGCUUGAGAUAAUCAACCACAGGUCAAAUGCAUGAAAAUUUCUAAAGGCUACCCGGUAGGUUGGACCGCGCUGGUAUCGUGCCAAAGUGAAAUUAACCGUGGAAUUGAGAUCGAAUUCAGAAAUUGGAAGUCUGGGUGUGUCACAAAUCAUUUCAGGAUCAUUGAAUCAUCUUUGGAAGAUUUUUCAUGCAAUCAGAGUUUUUCAGCAAUUAAAUCAGAGAAUGGCUAAUUUGGCUCGAGAAAUUAGUAGGCUCGUCUUUAGUCGCGCUUUUGGGACUUAAGUCGGUUCUAUGGACAAGUGAAGAUGUGAAUUAGAGUGUGGUGGCAUUGGAUUAAUUUUAUGGACUUCAAUUUGAUUCAAUUGGGAGAGAAUUGAUUGGAAUUGAAGGAAUUGAUGUACAAAGUUUUAUGCCCCGGCAGAAAAUGGAAUUGCAACCAUUAGAAUAAGGUUGUGGGAGAUAGUGGAGUGUGAUGUCAUCCUAGGUCAUGGUGGGCCAUUUUUGUUGGAUAAAAAAAAGAGAAAAAGAAAAUAAAAAGGGCCUCCCUCCUUCUCUCUCCUCCCUCUCUUCUUCCUCUCUCCCGUGCGACCACUCUCCAUCUCCAUUUUCUUCUCCAGCUUCGAACCCAGCAACCAGAAGCCAGCAGCCGUCGCAGCUGCAGCUGGAGCCGUCGUCGCCUUUGCUCGUCCGCUCGUCGUCGCAGCCGCGCCUCGCCGCUUGGACCUCGGCCUCCCUCUCUCCUCUCUUCUCCAUCUCCGGUUUCUGCUCCAAGACCCAGCAGAUCUGAGCACGCCGAGGAUGGCUGCAGCUCAGCCGAACCGCCGUUCGCCGCUCGCCCGACCAGCUCGCCCGUCGCCGAAGCUCGUUGCUGUCGCCAUUCGUCCACAUGCACGUUGUCUUGUGCGCGAGCUACUCCGCCCUCCUAUCUCUGCUUCGUCCGCGCGCCAGCAGCCAUCGUCCGUCGUCCCGAGCUGCCGGAGCUCGUCCCCGUCACCGUGAGCCGCCAUUGACCUCCCCACCCGCCCGUCCAAGCCCUCGCCGGUUUCCUCCGCCCAUUCCGACGCCGGAUCCGCCCUUCUCGGCCCCAAAUCAGCAGCUGGAAAAUGGGUAUGGCAGCUCAUGUUUGGCCCGUUUUGGCCGUCUUCCUGAGCCCGCACGCUUGGCCCGCCUUGAGGAAAGUCGAUCAUCGCGUUGUCCCUGUCGUUUUGGUCCGCUCGGUUCGUUAAUCCGGUGAGUUUAGCUCACUAAACCUUGAUUAGAGGAUUAAUGAUGCUUUAGGGGUGCUUAGUUUAUGUUAAGUGUUAUUAGGUGGUUAGUUUAAUUUAUUUAAGUGUAGAUUAUAUUAAGGUGUUUGAUUAACUUAAAUUGUGUUUAAUUUAAGGUUAAGUGAGUGGUUAUAUUAAUAUAAGCGUUGAUGUGACAUAAAGGAAUUUACUUUUGAGUUAUUUAAAUAUCCCGAAAUUAUUAAAUAAUUUAAUAAUAUAUUAUUAUUCGAAAUUAUUAAAAUAUUAUUAUUUAAUUAUUUUCGGAAUAAAUUUAAUUAUUUAUUAAAUUCCGAAAAUUUUGUCAGUACCUUAAAUUCUCAUAAUUUCGUGCCGGUCGCUGCUGUAGUCAAAUUUUGAAAUUGAUGAUUGGAUAUUAUAAAUUGAGUGUUGAUUGUGAUAAAUAGAGAUUUUAUUCAUAAAAACCCAAGUGUCGGGUUUGGCAUUGAAAUUGGAUUUUUAAUGGUUAAUAUCGUAAUUGGAUUAUGUGAGUGAAAUGUAAAGUAUCUAGGGAUUGAUAUCGAAUUGUCGUGUGCUGGUUGAAAGGCUCGGAUCGCAGUAGUGGCUAGGCCAACUGGACCCUUAUUUUGCUAUAAAUUUCGUCAAGAGAGUGACGUGGCUCGGGUCGCAGUAGUGGCUAGGCCAACUGGACCUUUAUUCAUUUAGAAAUGCCGUCAAGAGAGUGACGUGGCUCGGGUCGCAGUAGUGGCUAGGCCAACUGGACCUUUAUUCAUUUAGAAAUGCCGUCAAAAGAGUAACGUGGCUCGGGUCGCAGUAGUGGCUAGGCCAACUGGACCUUUAUUCAUUUAGAAAUGCCGUCAACAGAGUGACGUGGCCCGGGUCGCAGUAGAGGCUAGGCCAACUGGACCCAUGCUCCUUCGGGAAUGCCGUCGACGUAGUGAUGAAGCCGCGCUCCAAGGGGGGGAGGCGAUGCCUUGCAUUAAUGUUGGAAGAUAACCGAAUUGCAAGUAGGCUAUGCCCUUGUGUGGCAGCGAAUAAUAAUUGGAAUGCGUGCUAAGUGCGGCUGUGAUUUAUAUGAAAGUGAUGGCGUUCCAAUUGUUUGAAUUAUUAUUACUACCUGUGAUUGAGUGAUUUGAAUUGUGCUAACCUGCAUAAAGGAUCUGAGGCGAGGUAAGUUCUCUGUGUGAUGUUGCUAGGCCACCCUUGGGCGUAUUUUCUUUCUAAUAGGGGUUUAGGGGGUUGAACGAGUUUGGGGAUUAAAAUUUUAGGUCCCUAGAUGGCGGUCGUGGAGGACCCGAAGCCCUAAGUCUAGAAAGAUGGAGACUGAAGUAUCGGUGAAUGUGUCCUGCUAGUUGGUUUUAGGAUAGUUCCCCUUUUAUCGAGCUGGUCUAUUUUAUAGACGGUCCAGAGUUGUAUUUAAACCUAUGUGUUUGUAAAUGAGUGUUUGGUGUAGCGAUUGAUUGCCUUCUUUUCUAUCCCAAGUUAAAUGUUGUCAGGGGAUUUGUUUCGCUUCCACAUGCGUAAUGAAAUGAAUGGGUCGGCGACAUAUCCUGGGAUGUCGCAUAUUUGAUCGACCGCAGUGGGAUGUGCGCGCGCUCGGGGUUCGAGGCGUGACAUUUACUUUCAAUCACAACCUAGCUCGAAUCAUCAGGGGCCGCCGGAAUCGAACCGGCAUCGACCAUAAGAACGCGUGGCAACAAGGCACAAUCCGCAAUCGGCGACAAGGAGGGAAGGGAAAGAGGGGAGGGGAGGAGCAAUCGGCUCGCGAAGGAACAUGGGCGGAAUCCGCCCGAUUCUCUCUUCUCGAUCUCCCUCCACAUUCUUCGAGCAUCUUCGUCCUCUCUCUCUCCCCCCACUUCGCCCCUCCGUCCUCAAAAGCCACGGACGAACUUGGGAAGAAGGAGAUUCAGGGCGUCUGCGAAAUGUUCUGGUUCGAGCCCAGGAACAAGAUGGAAAAGACGACGACGGUGAAGAAGAAGCUGAUUCGAGAAUUCCAAAAUUUGUGUUUUUUCCUUUUUAUGUGCCGAGAUUUACCGGCCCAAUUCGGGGAACUGUUGGGAGAUUUGAACUGGGCUCCUGAACUAGGUUAUGAUCGAAAGUGUUUUUCUGAUACCUGAACAAGCAAGGGACGUUUUUAUCUUUUCUAUCCUUCAACUCCCCCUCUCUUUCUCUCUCCUCCUCCUCCUCCUCCUUCUUCUACGUGGGUUUUCCGGGAAAAUAAGGAAAACAGCCAGAAAGCACAGGGAAAGAGAGAGACAGAGAGAGACCCGGAUCAGUCAAACGAAGCCUCGCGGUGCCUUUUGCGGGUCGUGUGUUUUCUACUCUGGGCGAAAGCACGAUACCAGUAGAUCACUAUAGGCGCUCCGUUUCAGGUGCUACUGUGUAUAUUAAUGGCGGAAUCUUGGCGGAGUUAUAGCCGUGCGCAGACAGCGGAGUGGAUACGAAUGGAGGAGACGAGGUUGAAGACACCUCAAACCCGAACGGCCCCACCCACAUAUAAAUAGGAUCUUCCUCGUCGCAGCCAGAAAUACCGAUUUUGCCGCCUUCUUUUUCUUUUUCUUUUUCUUUUUCUUUUAUUUCUUUUGGGCAAUGAUCCUUUUUUUUUCCCCGAAUUUCGUUAUUUGAAUUUCUUGAAUGAGCCCCGCGAUUUACUCCACUGCCUAGCAUGCUUAUGCACGAGCGCAAGCAAUUGCAAACGUAGGAUUUGGAUUUGGACAGACACGUUAGGCAAUUUAGCCAAGUAAGGAGCGAAGUAUAUUUUAUUCAACCUUGAAGUGUGUUUAUCAUUUAUUCAAACCGAAAUUUUCACACACACACAUAUAUACAUAUAUAUCUCAAGAUAGAAAUCACAGUUAUCAAGCAAAUAAAGAGAUAGACAGAGGAAAUUAUAAUCUUCCAGUCCAGAAUAGAUAAGGCUAUUUGUGUAAAAUUCCUUUUAUAUGAGUGCGUAGGAGCUAUUUGUGCAUGACGCACCAAUCGUAGGUGAGCGAUUGCUUCCUUGGGAGUACCCAAUCAUAAUAAUAAUACUUGCAUGUCGAAGAAAGUCAACUAAAAAAUUUAUGACGUCAUAGAAGUUUGUCAAAGGAGUAACUUGAGACAUUUGACACUCAGCAAAAAGAUAAAAAUAAAAGAUUUUUUUUUUUUGUGACCUAGGAAACCCCGAAAGCCGAUAGCCAGCAGGAAGAACCUGGGGGCAACAUGGGGAAACCACCACCCCAUGCCACCGGGUAAGUCACCAAGUAACUCCACUAGCCCCCUUGCGUUGCAAGGGCUUUGAACCUCUCCCCUCCCACGCAGAAGAUCACUAAAGCCUACCCAGCGGAGCCACCAGGGCCAGUGGUAAGAUUUUCUUUUAUUGUUUCUAUGCAACGAGUCCUCAAAAGGAAUUUCUAAAAAAUGCAGAGCUAUAUUGGGUCAAAGGGACUUCCCUCAGAAAUUGUGAAACUACGGGAGAAAAGGUUAUGUAUUCAAUAAAUUACUCAUAUUUACGCGUCACUCUAAUCUUAUGUGGUGAGUCCUUGACCAAUUUCCAAGCUAUUAGAAUUUUAGAAUAAUUUCUUCACUUCUCAAUAGUUGUUUCAUGAUAAAUUGAUUUGCUUAUCCCAAAUUAUGAAAUCUAAAAUUAUAUAUGAACAUGCAUUUAUUGAGACAUCUUAAAAAUUUCAAUGCGUUCCCACCAUCAUUUAUUAUUUAUUAUAUAUAAUAAUGGAGAUGUCAUUUGAAAUUUCAGAUCUUGAUGUAUGCACUGGGAUAACUAAUCAUAUUUCUUCUAUGAAAGUUUUAGCUGGCUCAAAAUUCUUGGCCUAUGCCUCUCUUGAUUAAGAGGACCUUUUGUUAAAUGGUGUUUGAGUACUUAACGUGGACUCCCAUUCAUAGAAUAGUCCUUUAUCAAACAUUUAAUAUGAGCAAAUCAUCAUAAGAUUCUUACGCACUGUCAAGAAUUUAAAAUGUGGAAUCUAACUUUUAUAAUUCUUAAGUAUGUUAAUUGCGAUAAAAUAAGAGUCCUACGGUACUUUCCUUGUUGUAGAGCCAACUUUAUGUUACAAUAGAAAUACAUUAACCCUUAUCAUGCUGUGCAUCCACAUUAUGCGACCCAUUGAUAUGGUGUCACCAAUUGAUAAAAGUGCUAUGGUUUAGAAAAUUACAAAAUAAUUCGGGCUAAGUACUUUAGGUUGGUCUUAACUUAGGAGUUACUCGAGUAGAAACCCCAUUUCAGUUAUGUGAAAGUGGUGUACAUUUUAGUUUUUUGGUCGAAAGGAUGAGUAAUAUUAACAUAACGGAGAGUAAUUACAAACAGCACAACCAGCCGCUAAAGCAUCAAAACAAAGUAAGGUAAGCAAAAAGGAGGGCGGCGAGGUAGCCCAAUCUUGAGAGAGGAGCCCAUUUCGAUGAGCCUUUGCAGCCCAAUCCACAACAGAGUUCGCUUGCUGUUUGCAAUGCGUUACCCUAGUAGAAAAGAAAUCGAGAGAGGAGGCUGAUGGCCUCUGCAGCGAUUGCACGAGCUUCCCAUGGCAAUGGCGUAGAGGCAUUGAUCGAUUCUACUAAAAUAAGGUUGUCUGACUCGAUGAUCAACCGAUCUCGUUGUCUUCCAGUGUCUAGCAGAUGGUAAAGAGUGAUAGUAAGAGCCAUGAACUCUACUUGUGGAGCUGUCGAGGCGUUGAAAUCUCUGGUGAGUCCAUCAACCAACCUCCCAUUUUGACCCCUACAAAUACACGCCAUAGUCCCUGUUUUGCUGUGAGGUCGAAAAGCUCCAUCUAUAUUUAUUGGAAAAAGUAUUAGAAUACAUAAAAUAAUAAUAAUUAUUGGAAAUACAUUACAAAAGAUUAGAAAAUAAAAAGAAAUGUCUGAGGCGUGCAAACACUCGGUGCGUAAGGCUUCAGCAGCUAUCCUCCCAAGAUACAACAGACCUUCUUUUAUACUCCGCACUGAAUAUUAGAAGGAAACAGAACAACUUUUGUGUAUAACCCAACAAAAAGAAAAUGAAAGCUGUGAGAACAUAUUGUAUCUACUACGAUUGUGGUUUGAAGUUUAAUUUAUAUUUAAAAAAGGAAAAGAGAGAGCCGUUAAGAAAUUACAAUAAAUCAAUUGGUAAUUAAAAAGAUGACUGUUAUAAAAUAAUGAAGAGUUUAUAAAGUAAUAAAUCAAAAGUUAUAAAGCCGUUAGAUGACCAUUAUAUAACCAUUAGAAAGCCAUUAUAUGACCAUUGAAAAAGCCAUUACAAAAAUGAUAACUUUCAUGACGAUCAUAAUUUCUAAUUAAUAUUUCAAAACUACUUAAAUAUCCAACAAUCCCCCGUAUAUUUCAAAAAGUUCUGACAAGAAAAUAAAAUAAUGCUAGGUUAUUGAAGAGUAAUGCAUCGGAAUAGGUGCUUAUUAGGCUAUGAACCAACCCUAGAAAGAAUGAAAUAUAAUUCAUGAAAUCACUAGUGAAGUUUGAAACUUCUAUGAACCAAGAAUUUCUUUUUGUGAAUUAUAAUUUUCACCAAUCACAUUACACUCCCACAAACUUUGUUGUUCAACGCGGUUUUGCGCUAAUAGGCCAUGCGCGUGCUUGGUUUAUUCAUAAGUGCUUUAGAGAUUUUCGCCAAAAAUUCUCAUAGGAGCGGCCCCACCCCACACUUAUAUAGGUGAUUCCAUCAAGUGUAUUCUGCAAUUUAAUACACCACCAAUAAUGGCUAUAGAAUUUCAUUAAGAGCUUAGUUCAACCUCUUUUUCCUUGCAAUUUUGCACUAUUUUCACCUUAGGAUGGACAAUAAUUUUUAAUAGUGUACUAGAUCAACAAAUGACUUGUUAUUACCCAUAUGAAUCUAAUUCAUGAGAUCGCCAAUCACAUAGGUUGGGUUACUAUUAUUGUUUAUUUUCUUCAAUUGACUUGUCCAUUCCCCUCAAUGUAUAGUCAAAGGAUUGGCCAAAAUCCAUUUUUGAUUUCAUAUAAUUAAUGGACAUAAUUCCAUCAUUAAGCAACUGCUUUACCACGUCAUCCCUCAAUCGGAUUUGUCAAUUUUUAUCAUAUCUAUGCAUGGCUAUUGCCUCUUGGCAAUCAUGAUAUAUAAACACAAAAUGUGUCAUUUUCCCAAAGGAAUAUCUGCUGAGAGUUUCUCAAUUACUCGGCCUCAUUUUCAUAUAUGAGUUUGAGAAAAAAAAAUUCCUUUUCCUCAAGAACUUGAAUAGUUCACAAUUUACCAAAAAAAUAGUAAAUAUUUUCUUCUCCUUCACCCAUUGGAACCUAAGAGGAUAAGGCAUUUUGUUUACACAUAUAUGCCUGGUAGCACUUGAGUCUACCACCCAUAAUUUCUCGAUUAGCCACAAUAUUGGCAUGGGAAUGACCACAUCAAUUACUUCAUCAAAUCAUCUACUUCAACCAAGUUGACUCUUGGUUUAGCAGGAUUGCCAUUUCCCCCACGAUUUCAUUUGAUUGAUUUCCACCGGGUGAACACAUAUUUGUUAGUGGAUUUUAUCUAAUAUGAAUUCAAGAUCCAGUUAACAUCACCGUAUCCUUAUAAUACAGUGGAAAAUCCACUAUAAUAAACUUGACAAUAAUCACCUUUUAACAAAAUAUUUCACAAAAGACAUCAAUCUUAUUCAAUAUAGAUCUAUGUUGGCUAUGGAUGCAAAGAAAUAAAAAUAAAUUUCAUCUCCACAACAUUCACUAAAGGAGAUUCUCUUUCCCAAUACAGUAGCCAAUCAAGUCUCUAAUUAUCAUCAUGCAUGAAUGGACAUUCAACAUAAAUUGACAAAGUAAAUAUUCUUACAAAGAACAUUUUUUUUUUUACAUCAUUACUGCUGUCAAUAAUACAUGUUAUUCCAAAAAUGUUAACCAAAACUCAGAGGUUAGCAGAAAUCCAAAAUGAAUUAAUAAUUUCACAAAAUAACUAUAAGACUUCCUUUGAGUGUUAUAUACGAAUCACCAAAAAUGUCUCAACAAUGCAUACUCAAUACAAAACAUGUAAUCAAUUUAAUUAUGCAAUAAAAUACUAUUUAAUAAUUCUAUCAAAAGUUAUGCGUGAAAAAUUCGAUCGUUGCAAAAGAGACAUUACAAUCUUUAACCCAUAAAUUUGUGGCUAUUAUUCUAAUAAAUUCAAGAAUAGAAUCACAGCAAUUUUGACAAGAAAAAUAUUUGAACUAAAACUUUAGUAGUCAUAAAUAUACUGCCAACAAUGUUUUACACUUGUAAAACUCAAAGUAGACUUUAACUCUUUAAGCAACAUUUAAAUGUCUGAAAUGUGAAAUAUAAAAAAUAUCACAAAAGGCAGGAUGCAAAAGGCAUACUCACUAAAUUGCCGAUUACGCUAAUAUAGCUAGAAAAGUAAUUAAUGGCAAAUAUUGGGGUGUAUCAUUAGUCAAUUGAAUAGUAGUCGCCCAAUUAUUCUUUCAGCUUGUGCUUGCUAAAUUGGGUCUCCAUUCUAUUCUCUUUCUAUCAAGCAUAAUUCCAUGUCGUUGAGAAGGCAAGAAUCUGCCACCAUUCUAAUGCUAGAGAAGUUCUAUAUGUGCGUGGACGAGAGAGAAGUACCAUAUCUUCAUGUAUUUAUCAAACAUACACAUUGUCAUGCAGCAAAUACCAACACAUGUAUGAGCAUAUACAUAAAUAGAGGCCCACGCUGCACUUCCAAGCAAGCAUGAAUAAAGAUAUGCCACCAAAUACCAACACAAGCUCGUGUCUACACUUACUUGAGCAUAUUGGCAUGGACAUCACCAACCGAAUAAUGAUUGUAUGCACUCUAGCAUAUUCCCAAGAAUGACAAGACAAAACUGUGAGGAAUACUUAAGAAUUUUGUUCCAUAGUCAAAUGGCACCUAUUUUCAAAAUCUAUAAGCACAAUAAUAUAAGGUAAAAAGAGCGUAAUUUUAGUGGUAAAACACAAAAAUCCCACAUGACAGCAUCCAUUGUUUCGCUAAAAAUAAUUAUAUAUAACCUGGUCCAACAUGGGCGAGCUCGAUAAGUUUCUGUAGAGAUGGAGCCAAAGACAAAUUAAAUAACAGGCAAAAACAGUUAUAAACUGGCUUCAUGAAUGUACAUUAAACAAAUGUUAGCAAGAGAAUAGGAAGAAUUAAGAACAAAUGGAAACUAUUUUGAGUAACAGAGAAGCGCCCCAAUUUCUAAUCCUAAAUGGAUGAUUAUUAAAAUAAUCACGAACUUGAGAGAGAAAACACCUACACACGUCCGACUUUCUAUUGGAAAAACAAGUAUAGGUAUUAAAGCCCCAAAAUAAAAAUAAAUAUAUAAAAGAAAUAUUAGCCCGAUUUCUUUCCAUUUCUUUUAUGGUUUUCCUUUUCUAUUUCUUUUUAAUUACCACACGGAAUCACUAUGUCAUUUUUAAAGAUUUUCUACAUAGGUAAUUUUGAAAAUUUGUAAGCAUCUUCCGUAAAAGUAUAAGACCACACAUUCAUGGAAUAUGUCUAACAAGAUCAAAUCAAAUCUAAAGAGAACACACAAGCUCGUAAUGCCAAAUUUCACAUAUUAGAAUGAAAGGAUCAUGACCUAUGUGAUGAUUAUUCCUCAAAAUGUGGAAAUAGCGUGCCAAAAUGGCAAUUACACCUUUCAAGUAUUAAUUUAGAAUUUCCAAAAAACGACAUACUUGAAACUCAAUAACCUUACCAAAACGACCAAAAGCUAUAUUGUGUUAAUGCUUGAUACCGUCCCAUGACAAACCACCCAAGAAUAUGUGAUACUCGUCCUUCACCAUCUCCAAAUCCUUGUUUAAUUCCAACGUCAGUGGAAGCACCAACAGUUCCAAUUUUGAAAGCUAUAAGGGAAUUAUCCUUAAGAUUGUUGGGAAAAGUAUUAGAAUACAUAAAAUAAUUAUUAUUAUUGGAAAUACAUUACAAAAGAUUAGAAAAUAAAAAGAAAUGUUUGAGGCGUGCAAACACUAUCCUUAAGGAUAAUUCCGCUCCUCGGAGUACGUAACUCGGUGCGUAAGGCUUCAGCGUCUAUCCUUCCAAGAUACAACAAACCUUCUUCUAUACUCUGCACUGAAUAUUAGAAGGAAACAGAACAACUUUUGUGUAUAACCCAGCAAAAAGAAAAGGAAAGCCGUGAGAACAUAUUGUAUCUACUAUGAUUGUGGUUUGAAGUUUAAUUUAUAUUUAAACAAGGAAAAGAGAGAGCCGUUAAGAGAUCAUCAUAAAUCAAUUGGUAAUUAAAAAGAUGAUUGUUAUAAAAUAAUGAAGAGUUUAUGAAGUAAUAAAUCAAAAGUCAUAAAGCCAUUGGAUGACCAUUAUAUAACCAUUAGAAAGCCGUUAUAUGACAAUUGAAAAAGCCAUUACAAAAAUGGUAACUUUCAUGACGAUCAUAAUUUCUAAUAAAUAUUUCAAAACUACUGAAAUAUCCAACAAUAUUCACCUUAAUGCAGCCUGGAUCUGGAGGUCUCCACAGUUCGCCAAGGUUGAUUUGCAGCUGUCCUAUUGCUGCUCUUGUUCCUGUUCCCGAUGAUUUGCAAUGGGAUAAACAAGCAGCUCUGGCGGUGGCGAGGGCCACUUCGACAACUUGCAUCACAUCCAACGCUGGCGACGAAAUAUAAAACCAUUACGCGCUUUCCAGAUUUGCCAAAGGACAAAGGCCACCAUUUCUAGAUCGGGUGAGGAGUAAUUUAUGUUGAAACUAUCUGCAAUCCAUUCGUCAAGUCUCUGUAUUCCCUGCAGAUCUAUUUGAAAGUUGAUUUUCAAGUGCGACCAUAUAGAUUUCGUCCAUGGACAAAGUAGGAAAAUAUGCUCUACUGUUUCCAGUAUUUGGUUUUGGCAGAGAGUACAUACGUCGAUGAUAUAGAUUGGCUUUAGUGGGAAGGGCAUUGUGACAUAGCGACCAUAGAAAUACCCAAACUUUGGGCUCUAUCUUCAGCUUCCAUAGUUGUUUCCAUAGAAUCGCCAGAGUCUGGUAAGAGCAUAUUGCUGUAUGUUGAUUCUUUGUGACCUCGGCAUUUUUUAUUGCAUGGUAGCCGCUUUUAAUGGUGUAAUCACCAUCAGUAGUUGCUGUCCAAAUGAGCUUAUCUCUGACAUAAACAAGUCUAACCUGAAUUGCGAGAAUUUCUUGGACAAUAGAUUCAUCGUAUAAGUUAUGAAGCAGUGGAAUAUUCCAGUCAUGUGUCUGCAUGUUGAGCAAUUCAGCAACCUUAGCUAGUUCAUUGCAGUUUGCAGGUCCUUCCAAAAUGGAUUACAUAUUAAUACAUAGACUCUUAUUGAAUGCUUAGGUGUAAGGUUUUGAUAUGAGCCUCUUUUCUUUAUCUUUUUUUGGUAAAUAUUCAUGAUGAUUUGCCACAUCUGACAUCACUUCGUACAUUAAGGUCAUAAAGGUUUCUAAUUAUAAGGCCACAUUAUUAUUUUCAUUGUGAUACUAAAUUCAUAGUUAUGUAGUGACAACCACAAACUUUUUAUAUUGUAUCACUGCUACAAAUCAUGUGGUUUGACUAAAUCCUACCAUGCUUUUCUCUAUGAUGUAAUCUCCAAUUUGUGCAAUUCUUGCUCUGCCGAAAAGUUAUUAAUUUUAUUUAUUGAUAAGUCGCUUGUGUUCUCUCAAGCUUUACCUAAAAACAUUAAGAAAAUAGAAAUUAUAGAUUGGGAAUGGAGAAGGCUUCCCACAACCACUCUUUGCCAAAAAAAAAAAAAAAAAGACCCAACAAAUUUGUGGCAUUGAAUAAAUCCAUAUCAGAACAACUGGAAUUGAUGAUGUCAGGCGCGACUAUUUUGCACGAUAAGAAUGUAUCCUAAAAUAAAUAUAAAUUAUAAAAUGAAAACUUAAAUAUAAUAUGACAUGACAUGCCACACUUAACUUCAUAUUUGAACACAAACUCACAAACAUAUAUAUAUAUAUAUAUGGUAAGUACAAACUCACAAAUAUUAACGUGGCUUCAUCGUAUUUUAGUUAUUUGGCAUAUAGAAUCAAAAUCUAUAUGUUUCUAGGUCUACAUAAAUUCGAAUUAUAAUAUUAAUCAUGACAUGUCAACACGAACUGUCACCCCUAAUACCAAGAGUAACUUGCACGUCAUCCAUACAUCUCUCGGUACACAAGAAGAGCUGAACCCAACAACAGCAGUGCCACGGAAAGUAGAGCCGACUGUACAGCGGCUGACAAUGGAAUGCGUCCUUUAUCCGACCUUACCAUCCCUUCAAUCACAGGGUAGCUCAUCACCAGGAUGA